rnacentral:misc_RNA from 1 species
AAAAUUAAUACCAGGUAAUCAUCGGUAAACUUACAACGUUUGUUAGCUUUUAUGUAAUCCUAAGGUAGUUCUCUAUAUAGAAUUAUUUUUAACGUUUUUUCGACGUUUACUUUAGGAACAAAUUGGAAAAUUUCAUAAACGUUAACAUAUUUAGCAAAGUAUGCAACUAAUGAUAAAAAUAGCACUUCAAACUAGACGCCUUUUUAGGCGUCUCUAGUACGAAGAGAAGACGCCAUUUCUCUAAUUUGACCUAAUUUCUUUAACUAUCAAGUUAUACAAUCGUGAAGAUAGAUAUUGUGAACAUGUGUUUACGUUAAUGUGGCCUUAGCUUGUAGUCGAAAUAAUAUGGAAUUUUUUUCAGCUAUUCAAAAGGAUUAAAUCUUAUCUGAUAAGGACUUGUUAUUUUGAUCAGAUUAUCUUUUAAAGUAGGUAUAUUUUUAAAAUUUUAUACAUAUUUUUCUGAUACAGCAUCACAAAGCAUUUAUUGUCUAUCAUUUACCGAUAGGGCCAUGUAAUGGCGAUGGCAACCAGCUUAAACGAUGAAGUUGACCAAGAAUUAUUAAAAACUGAAAUAAAUCACUAUUCUAACACACCUGAGGAGUAUAGUGAUGAAGAUGAUAAUAAAACUCCUGAAGAAACUGUUGAUGUUGAUGCACAUUGGCUUCACACUGCAGGAUUUUCUGAUAUAGUUUCCCAAUUGACAGAUGGUCAGGAUGUCAAAGAUGAUGAUAUGGAAAAUAUAACUUCUACAUUAACUAGAAAGCAAGCAGACGUUCUUAGGAAACGUGUUAACUCUUUAUCAGCAACUCUAAAGUCAAAAAGUAAAUCUUCUACUCACACGGAUGUACGGGAUAUUUUUCCAGAAAGAGCAGAGGAAACAGAAAUCAAAGAUUUUAGUUCUUUUGAUGAGCGAUCUGUUCAAAUAUCCGGUACACCAAAAAAUUCAAAAAACGACUUACCCACUAUAACGGAUAAUGAAGAAAGUAACUAUCAUAUAAAAUUCGAAAGAAGUAAUUCAAGAAAAGGAGUGUCAGACUUGCCAUAUUGUGAGAUAAAAGAUGAAGAUGUUACUUUAAUAUCAGAUUUAAGCAAGGCUGACGUUUUGAAGCUUCAUAGUUUUGUAUUUAUGGAAUUAACCGCUAUUUUUGACGAUCAUGGACUUAAUAUAACGAAAAAAAAAACAAAAAAGAAAUUUAAGGAAUUCGGAAUAUUUGGAACUUCUCUGCAAACUUUAUAUGACAGAGAUGUUAAGAAACACCCAGAUUUACUUGUACCAUUAAUUUUAAAACAAAUGAUAGGAUUUUUACAACAAAAAGGUUUAAGAGAAGAAGGUAUUUUAAGAGUACCAGGAGCCAUGGCGAGGAUAAAGCAACAUCGUCAAGUGAUAGAAGCAAAGUUUCCCUCAGGUAAUUUUGAUUGGGACCAUUUAGAUGCUAAAUCAAGUGAUGUCGCUGGAUUAUUGAAGCAAUUUUUACGUGAACUACCUCAGCCACUUCUCACAAAUGAAUACAUAGAUGCUUUCAGUCAAGUGGAAGAAAUCAAAGGCGUAGAAGCUCAAGUUCAAGCCUUAAUGAUGCUUUUCAUUCUUCUGCCAGACGUUCACAGAAAUUCUUUAAAGUUAAUUCUCGCUUUUCUGAAAUUGAUAACUGAAAAUGAGGAGAAGAAUCGAAUGAAUUUGCACAACGUGUCAACAAUCAUGGCUCCGAAUUUGUUUUCAACCGGUAAAAGUAAAAGGGAUUCGUCAAAACCUCAAACGUUCCAAUUGCAUGCAGCAACUAAAUGCUUUAAAGUAGUACGAUUAUUAAUACAAUAUGAAAAAGUUUGGGGAAUUGUACCAGGAUUUCUUUUAAAUCAAAUUCGACCCCCUCCUACUAAUAAAGGAUUCAAUAUAAAAAAAUUCUUUGGUCGUAAAGAUAAAAGUCCUAACAAAACUACAGCUUUGGAGGAAGAACGAAAAAAAAAGAAUAGGAUAAAAGUUACUAUGGGGACAUCAGUAAGCAAGGAUAUACAUUUACAUACUGGACUAACUGCUGGUCAGGUAGUCGAGCAGAUUCUUAAAGAGGAAAGUGUACUCAGCGGCUCAAAUCUUGAAGGAUUAAAGGAUAAAUUUCUGUACGAGAAGGGAGGAAAUAUAAACUGUAGGAAGUUAAAUCCAAAUUGUCGAUUAAUGCAAGCUUUUCGAGAUAAUCCAUUCGCUGAUUGGAUUAUUUCCUCAAAGCCACCUGUUAGUUAACUCUGUGUCUUUGGCACGAAAGAUGCUUCAAAUGCUAUCAAAGGGAAUUUUCCAAUGAUGUUAAUUGUCUAUAACAAAAUUAUCUGGAAAAUAAGGAUACAGUCACUUGACUGCUGGCCUCUUGAAACUAGCCUUAAACCCACCAAAAAAGGAUUAUUUUGUUUUAUUAUUUUUCUUAUAACAAUUUUUGGGAGAUUAUUCUUGUGUGGUCAUUGUUGUCUUGUUAUGAUAAGGUUGAAUGCGCUUCGGCUUUUAUUGACAAAAUGGGAAAGAAUUUUGUUUGUUUUUUUUUGUCUGUCUUUAAUUUUUACUCAAACUAAGUUUAAAACCAAAACAAGCAAAAGAAAAAACGUGAAGAUAUUUUAUUUAUAGGAUUAUCAUUGUCAUUGUUUCUAUUUCUCAUUUUUCUUCCGCUUUCAACUAAAUAUCUUUCAUUUAUUUUUUAUUUAAGAUCAUUGAACAUUAAACUUUCACCCUUCGCAUUAUAUUUUAUAAAAUGAAACAUGUAGGAAAUCUAUUCUUGGCUAUUAAACGCUAAACAAAGCUUUACCUGAAUGCUAGCUUUCUGUACAUAUGCAUAUACAUUAUAUUAAUAUCAUAAAUUAUACAUGUAAAGUAUAUGCAUGUAUUUCAGCUUGCAUGUAAAGGUAUUUAUAUAUAAAUUUAUAUAUAUUAUACUGUAUAUCUGUAAGUAUAUUUAUAUAUCCAAUAUCUUUCCCGAAGGGAAAUAACCAGGGUAAUUAUAUAAGAUGAGAUUUUGGAUUUAUAAUGUUAAAAAGAUAUAAUAAAUAGCCUAAGUAUUUGGCCAAUCAAAAUUCAAAUUUUUAAAUUAAAAAUAAAGAACAAGUGAGAAUGCUUUAGUUGAGUGUAAAAUUUAAUUAAACUUUAAUAAGUUAUACGUCCCAGAUUAGGUAAUGAAUUCAAUAUUUAUACAUUAAAACCGAAAUGAAAGAGAUGAAAUUAUUAAAAUUUGAAGUUUGUCAAUAAUAAAAAAUAGGAAAGACGUCUUUUUUCCAGUGUAUUUCCAGCUAAUUUAAAAACUAAAAUUAAAUUGAGCUUGUCAUACGCUCACGUCAUAUUUCUUGGAAAGCUUUAUACCGGAUGGUUAAAAGGAGCUAUUCAUGACAUGUUAGUCAUGACAUAGAAGCAUGCAGGCUAUUUAAAUAAAUUGUUAUUUACACGUUUCUAUCUCGUUCACCUUCACGAAAUAUUUUUUAAUGACGUCAAUUACCCGCUUGAUAAUCAUUCAUUGUCAGUUUUUGACGUCCCAUUACUGUGGCUUUCAUCACGAAGUAAAUCCCUCUCCAAUGACUUAAACUUGUCAGCUAAUAAUGUUUUAUUAUUUAAUAAGUUACCAUUAGAAGGAAUUGAGAAAUGAAAGCUAUUAAUAUCAUUAGUAUUAGAAGUUUUAGAAAACAUUUUAAGGAAUUUUCUAUUUAUAAAUUGUUUAUUUAUUCGAAUUCUUGAAUUAUUAAAGUUUUUCCGAGAAUUGUUCUUAUUAAUUAAUGAAUUAUCUCCAUUUAUAAGUUUACGUUUAUUUCUAUGCUCUCUUUUGGAAGUGUAGUAAGUUAAUUUUGAAUGAUUGUUUUUAUCAUUAACAAAGUAUGUUUCGUUUGAAACAUUCGAUUGUGUAUUAUCAAUCAAUGAGAAAUCAGUUGUUCUAUAUAAUUCUGACUGUCUUUGUGGGUGUAAAUCGGACAAGUAUGCGGUCAGAGACGCACUAUCAAUGUCAGAAUUGUGACUAAUACUUUUUGAAUCGGCACAAUUGGGAUUAUUUAAUUUUUCUAUUGAAUAAUGUACACUUUUUGUAGAAUCUUUAUCGGAAUUCUCUUUUAAUUGUCUAUAAAUAUCAGAUAGACUACAAAGAACAUCUUUUCUUAACAGAAGAUUAAUCUUCAUCAAACGUGUUUUUAUUUCAUCAGAAAUUUGAUACAAGUUAAGAAUAAGAUAAACUGGAUUAGAGCCAUCAAUCCUAUCAAUAUCCACCUCAUAGUCUAGAAUAUUAAAUAUUCUGUUAUUAGCUUCAUCGUCCACCUUAACAACUCUAUUUAUUGUUGGAGAGAAUCCCAAAUUUAGUCUUGUUAAAUUAUAAAAACAUGGUAGCAAGAACAACAGUAAAUAAAGCCAUGUUAUACACAUCGUUGUCGUCAUAAUACCUAUUGCAAUCUUCAUAAAAGCAUUACCAAAUGACCAAUUGACAGCAUGAACAAAGAAUGAUGAUAUUACAAUAGCAAACAUUGAAGGCAUUAUUCGAUUGUAUAAACUGUUCAUCUUUUCUAACAUAGUAGUGCCCUGGAUGCAUCUCAUGGUGUUAACUACUAAAAGAUGCAAUAAGCUGGAUCCUGAAAUAAUAACAGGUAUUGCUAUUAUAUGAGUGACGGUUAUAAAUUCCCUCCACACAAGGAAAAUUGCACUAACGCAGACAGUCGACGACAAAAGUGUACUUAGACUCGUCAAAAGCGUCAUAAUCCAUGGUAAUUUACAUAAAAUUAAGGUCAUACUUAAAAAGAUUAACUGAGCAAGGGAAAUGAAGAAAGGUAAGAAAUGGAACAUUGAUCUCACAUCAAAACAGGAAUCUGAGAAAAAUUCAGUCACUUUAUAUUUCUUCGGUAUUGUCCUUUUUAUAUUUUGCCACUCUUUUAACAAUUCC